UGGGGAAUAUUGCACAAUGGGCGAAAGCCUGAUGCAGCAACGCCGCGUGAGUGAUGAAGGCCUUCGGGUUGUAAAGCUCUGUCUUUUGGGACGAUAAUGACGGUACCAAAGGAGGAAGCCGCGGCUAACUACGUGCCAGCAGCCGCGGUAAUACGUAGGUGGCAAGCGUUGUCCGGAUUUACUGGGCGUAAAGGAUGCGUAGGCGGAUUUUUAAGUGAGAUGUGAAAUACCCGGGCUUAACUUGGGUGCUGCAUUUCAAACUGGGAAUCUAGAGUGCGGGAGAGGAGAAUGGAAUUCCUAGUGUAGCGGUGAAAUGCGUAGAGAUUAGGAAGAACACCAGUGGCGAAGGCGAUUCUCUGGACCGUAACUGACGCUGAGGCAUGAAAGCGUGGGUAGCAAACAGGAUUAGAUACCCUGGUAGUCCACGCCGUAAACGAUGAGUACUAGGUGUAGGAGGUAUCGACCCCUUCUGUGCCGCAGUUAACACAAUAAGUACUCCGCCUGGGAAGUACGAUCGCAAGAUUAAAACUCAAAUGAAUUGAC
rnacentral:rRNA from 1 species